UCCUUCGAAGAGUCGAGUUGUUUGGGAAUGCAGCUCAAAAUGGGUGGUAAAUUUCAUCUAAAGCUAAAUAUUGGCGGGAGACCGAUAGCGCACAAGUAGAGUGAUCGAAAGAUGAAAAGCACUUUGAAAAGAGAGUUAAACAGUACGUGAAAUUGUUGAAAGGGAAGCGCUUGCAAUCAGACUCGCCUUCAGUUGAUCAGCCUUCCUUCUGGUUGGUGCACUCUGCUGUUGGCGGGCCAACAUCAGUUGGGGCGGCGGGACAAAGGCGGCAGGAAUGUGGCUCGUUCGCGAGUGUUAUAGCUUGCUGUGUCAUGCCGCCAGCCCCGACUGAGGUCCGCGGUUCGCCUAGGAUGCUGGCUUAAUGGUUGU
rnacentral:rRNA from 1 species